CGGCUCUGCUGCCUUCCAUAAAAACUGCUGCAAGAGCUGUCUCAGAGAACCGAAAUGAAAGCUGUUUUACUAUAAAGAAUAUAUUGUCUUCUGCACUUUGUGGGUUGAGGACCACUAAAAGUACUCACCCCAGGAUACAGUGGGCUUGGUGACCUAUGACUUUGAAGUCCAUUCUCGCCCCCACUGACCACCCGCUGGAGCCCAGGAUAGUUAUCUAACCCCUGCUUAAACCCGAGAGGCUCUGCCACCUGCUGUUUCAGCUCCUGUGACUGGCUUGCUUGCACCACGCUAAGGAAAGUCCCUCCGCUGUGGUUUUUGUCCUUAAAUUCCAAAGACACUGGGCAGGAAAUUGCUGUUCUCCCAUAGAGCUUCAGUCUCCGUGGGUGGGUGACAGUCCCUGGCCUGGUACAUAAGCUCUUUUGUUUGAAUUUGGACUUAGGUGUUUUCUGAACAGCUCCUCAUAACAGCAGGGUGCUAGUGGUUCUGAUGUCAUCCUCAGAUGGUGUCCUUUGCCUCUGCCCUUUUCUCUGCUGCCAGUCCCUGGGGGUGACACCCAUUCCCAUGGAUUGCGAGACAGCUAACUGAUGAAGCUCGCUGUUUUUUCUCUUUUCUCCUCAACUUUUCCAAGUCGUGUUAUUCGUAGGUUGUCACACCAGGCAACGUUAGUGCGUGCGUCUUUCACUCUGUCGUCCCCAGGGGCAGAUUUGAACACACAGCCAUAGGGAGGUGAGCCUGUGUUCCUUUCCGGGGCUCCUCAUGUCUGAAAUCUGCAGCUUCCUGGACUUUCAGGUGUCCUUUAGCCCAGGUUACAGUGAUUGCUCAGAGAGCCACGGCCUUGCAGAAACGGGAGACGUUUUCUCUGCAGGUAUGAAAUCUGGCCUGGCUUGACCUCCCUGACAUUUUGAAGAUGCCCUUCCCUGUGGCCUUGCUUUGCUAUUGUUUUUGAGACAUCUGACCUCAGGUAGAACUUUGCUCUCAUGGAGUUACUUUUACUUUGUGUGUGAAACAGUUUCAUUAGGGACUUUCCAGAUCAUUACCCAGAAUUCCGCAGGCUGGAGCCCCCCAGGCAGAGCCGAGUCUGUGGAGCUUUUUCUUGGACAGUGGUUGUCGACCCCGCCCCCAUCUUCCCGGGCUCCACUUGUGCAGGUGUGAGUCCUCCUUUGCAAGCUUCCUCUUGUACCACGUCCUCUCUGGCCCUUACGCCCUCCUGAUGGAGGAUGCUCUCCCCUCCGCGAGGCCUCUCUAAGUCCACUCUUCCUGGGCAUCUCAUACUUCAGUCCUCAUUUCUGGGAUGGAUCUGUCUGUUUCUUCAUUUCUUUUCUGAUGUCCGUCUCUUUGUGUCCUCCUGCCUCUGUCCACGUGUGUUCUUAGCUGGGGGAUUUCUGAGUUGAGAGGGGCUUUCAGAUCCUAGUACUUCUGUGAGUUCGUAGGAUUAGGUUUGGGAUGUCGUCCUGUGUUUUCCCUGUUCAUUUUUUCCUGGGAAGGGGAAGUUUACCAGGAGAGCUGAGUGAUGAUCACCUCCUGGUUCUUGUGGUGAUGAGACUCAACUUUCCUCUGUCCACUUCAUGCCCUGGGGGAGGUCACAGGACCCUGCUCCAGUCAGUGUGGGGCUGUCUUCUCUGGAUCUCGUCUUCACUCUGAGGUGGCCUCGGGAGGGAAGGGCUCUGUGUCUUCUGGAGUGUCUGGUUCAUUUCUUCUGAGGGGACUGGAUCCUCCCC
rnacentral:lncRNA from 1 species